CCUCUUGAAUAUGAAGAGAUCAUAUCCUACAUGCCACGGGGACUUGGUCCAGAGUUUGAUCCUCUGGUGAUAGGCAUCACUAUCUGCACUAAUCUCAUCACCAUCAGUGACAUCUACACACAUAUUCUUAGCUAUGAGC